UGGGGAAUAUUGCACAAUGGAGGGAACUCUGAUGCAGCGACGCCGCGUGAACGAAGAAGGCUUUCGAGUCGUAAAGUUCUUUUAUAUGGGAAGAUAAUGACGGUACCAUAAGAAAAAGCCCCGGCUAAUUACGUGCCAGCAGCCGCGGUAAUACGUAGGGGGCUAGCGUUGUCCGGAAUCACUGGGCGUAAAGGGUUCGUAGGCGGAAAUGCAAGUCAGGUGUAAAAGGCAGUAGCUUAACUACUGUAAGCAUUUGAAACUGCAUAUCAUGAGAAAGGUAGAGGUAAGUGGAAUUUUUAGUGUAGCGGUGAAAUGCGUAGAUAUUAAAAAGAAUACCGGUGGCGAAGGCGGCUUACUGGGCUCAUUCUGACGCUGAGGAACGAAAGCGUGGGUAGCAAACAGG
rnacentral:rRNA from 1 species